rnacentral:lncRNA from 1 species
UGGGGACCUAAUGGGACGCAUGUCCCAUGACCAACACCAAAAAGAAGAUAUUUCUUCUAUUUUUUAGAUUUUUUUAUUUAACUAUUUAUUUAAAUUUCUAUUUUAUGAUUCGAUACUAGAAAUGAGUAUGGAUUGCUAACAUUGGCCAUUGAUUAAUCCCGAUUUAAUGGUCGAGAUCGAAUGAAAGAAACACAAAUUGUAAGUAACUUUAAAAAUGGCUAAAAU